rnacentral:lncRNA from 1 species
GCCUUUCAAGACGGAGAUUUUAAGUGAAAAAAAGCCAUGAAAAGAAAACGAAAAUAUAGUAUUUGACUUAUAGAAAAAUACUAGAGUUCUGAUGCUCCACUGAGUUUCAGUAACUUCUUAUUCCUUUAAACUCUAAAAGCAAUAGUUUUCACUAGUUAGGAUUCGAGUUGGUUUGAUAUUACUUUUGGAAGAUUUUUGUUUUUGAUCAAACUGUGUUGAAACUACAGUUCCAUUGGGUUUUCAAGUGGAGCUCAUGGCUUUAACUGCAGAAUUUAGGUUGUUUUGUGGACUGGAAGUGGCUGUAUAGUUCAUUUUACUGUUUUAAAGCUAGAUUUCUUCUUGGAAAUUUCUACUUGUCUCAUUGGCAUUUCUGAAUAAAUUUCAUCAAGUUUUGGUUGAAUCUAGGAUUGUUUUUUUCUGUGGACUAUUGCUGAGUGCUCACUUCUAUUUCUUUUCCAAUCUCCAGGUACACUGUCAAAACCUGCCAUGGAACUGAGCAUUGACUAACAUGUAGGAAGAUUUGGAAGUUCCAGUUGAGAUUUGAAUAAGACAUUUUAAAUUCCUGAUGUAGUUACUGUCAGUUAUUGCCAUUAUUUCUAAUUAGGUGCUUCAUUUCGUUUAGUUUUAUUCUGGUUUGUGCUGAAUGAUUUAGUUGCUAGGUUUAAUGCAUAAUCUCAGAAUAUUUGAUGUUGUAGUGUUGUUUGAAUUCUGC